rnacentral:ncRNA from 1 species
CACCGCCCGUCGCUCCUACCGAUUGAAAGAUAUGAUGAAUUGUUUGGACAAGAAAAAUUGAAUUAUAUUCUUUUUUUUCUGGAAAAACCGUAAAUCCUAUCUUUUAAAGGAAGGAGAAGUCGUAACAAGGUUUCCGUAGGUGAACCUGCGGAAG